ensembl:misc_RNA 7SK 7SK RNA
GGGUGAUCUCGCUAUGACAUCUAUCACACCAUUAAUCACCAGAGUUGGUGUGGCUGAUCUGGCUAGCUGGGUGGGUAUUCCCCUUCCUCCACAAGUGUCCCUCCUGAAGAGGAGUGUUUCCUUGGUUGAGGAUAUAUGAGUAGUUGCGCUUCCCUGCUAAGACCUCCAAACAAGCUCUCCGGAUCACUAACUCCGGAUUGCUGUAACAUGAAUGAACCUAGAAAACUUUAUACUCUAUGAAAGAAGCCAGUCACAAAACAUCACAUGUUACAUGAUUCCAUUU